UACGUAGGGGGCAAGCGUUGUCCGGAUUCAUUGGGCGUAAAGAGCGUGUAGGCGGCCAGGUAGGUCGGUUGUGAAAACUGGAGGCUCAACCUUCUGAGGUCGACCGAAACCAUCUGGCUAGAGUCCGGGAGAGGAGAGUGGAAUUCCUGGUGUAGCGGUGAAAUGCGCAGAUAUCAGGAAGAACACCCGUGGCGAAAGCGGCUCUCUGGGACGGUACUGACGCUGAGACGCGAAAGCGUGGGGAGCGAACAGG
rnacentral:rRNA from 1 species